rnacentral:rRNA from 1 species
GGCGAGCGAGCGGGAAGAGCUCAAAUUUAUAAUCUGGCACCUUCGGUGUCCGAGUUGUAAUCUCUAGAAAUGUUUUCCGCGUUGGACCGCACACAAGUCUGUUGGAAUACAGCGGCAUAGUGGUGAGACCCCCGUAUAUGGUGCGGACGCCCAGCGCUUUGUGAUACAUUUUCGAAGAGUCGAGUUGUUUGGGAAUGCAGCUCAAAUUGGGUGGUAAAUUCCAUCUAAAGCUAAAUAUUGGCGAGAGACCGAUAGCGAACAAGUACCGUGAGGGAAAGAUGAAAAGCACUUUGGAAAGAGAGUUAACAGUACGUGAAAUUGUUGGAAGGGAAACGCUUGAAGUCAGACUUGCUUGCCGAGCAAUCGGUUUGCAGGCCAGCAUCAGUUUUCCGGGAUGGAUAAUGGUAGAGAGAAGGUAGCAGUUUCGGCUGUGUUAUAGCUCUCUGCUGGAUACAUCUUGGGGGACUGAGGAACGCAGUGUGCCUUUGGCGGGGGUUUCGACCUCUUCACACUUAGGAUGCUGGUGGAAUGGCUUUAAACGACCCGUCUU